rnacentral:rRNA from 1 species
GUGGUAAUGCCGGAUGUUCCACAUGAUCGCAUGUGAUUGUGGGAAAGAUUCUAUCGGCGUGGGAUGGGGUCGCGUCCUAUCAGCUUGUUGGUGAGGUAACGGCUCACCAAGGCUUCGACGGGUAGCCGGCCUGAGAGGGCGACCGGCCACAUUGGGACUGAGAUACGGCCCAGACUCCUACGGGAGGCAGCAGUGGGGAAUAUUGCACAAUGGGCGCAAGCCUGAUGCAGCGACGCCGCGUGAGGGAUGGAGGCCUUCGGGUUGUAAACCUCUUUUGUUUGGGAGCAAGCCUUCGGGUGAGUGUACCUUUCGAAUAAGCGCCGGCUAACUACGUGCCAGCAGCCGCGGUAAUACGUAGGGCGCAAGCGUUAUCCGGAUUUAUUGGGCGUAAAGGGCUCGUAGGCGGCUCGUCGCGUCCGGUGUGAAAGUCCAUCGCUUAACGGUGGAUCUGCGCCGGGUACGGGCGGGCUGGAGUGCGGUAGGGGAGACUGGAAUUCCCGGUGUAACGGUGGAAUGUGUAGAUAUCGGAAAAGAACACCA